rnacentral:lncRNA from 1 species
UUUGCCGAUACUGUCUUACACUUUGCUGUAUUCUUUAUAAUGAUUAUACAAGUUAGAAUUUGAAAGACUAAGCUACUGCUUUACUUCAAUCAAAUGACUUAUAAGACAUUUUUCUUUUAUAGACCAACUACUGGUGGUGCUACUCCACCUGCUGCUGCUAAGGCUUGAAUGUAGAGCUGAUAGGCUAAGAAGAUAAAUUGUUUAUCAGGCAGGUGAUUUCUCAUUAAUGAUAUUUUUUUAUUCGGUAUUUUAGGGGAUGGGCUCCUACACUGCUUGGUUACAGUGCUCAGGGUGCUUUCAAAUAUGGACUCUACGAAUUUUUCAAGAAGUACUAUUCUGACAUUGCUGGGCCUGAAUAUGCAACCAAGUAUAAAACUUUGAUUUAUCUUGCUGGUUCUGCAUCUGCUGAAGUGAUUGCUGAUGUUGCUCUCUGCCCUAUGGAGGCAGUGAAGGUUCGUGUGCAAACUCAGCCUGGUUUUGCACGUGGCUUGGCCGAUGGGAUGCCCAAGUUUAUCAGAGCAGAAGGCUAUGCUGGGUAUGGCAUCCGUAUCUGAAAUCCUUUGUUUUCUCAUUGUUAACUAAUUUUUCAGGAUUUCUUGUAAAGGAAUUUAUAUGAUCAAUUCUUAAUGCUCACAGGUUAUACAAAGGGCUGGUUCCACUCUGGGGACGUCAGAUUCCAUGUAAGCUGAAACAUUUUCAAUUAUUUCAUGUUGCAUAUAUAUAGUUUUUUGUGCAUAAAGUAAAAUUCAUUUGUUACCACCUUUUACUGUCUAAUUUGUUUAGAAACCUUUGGAAGUUCAGAACUACGUAUAGGCUGGUCACCAGUGGCGUACUAGUCCGUUUACACCUACAUGAACUUAAAUGAAUGUGUUCAUUACAUGAAUUUCAAUCAUCCCCUUGCAUUAGAAGCUAAAAGUCAAAAUUGGUAAUUCGCAGAUACAAUGAUGAAAUUUGCAUCCUUUGAGAAUAUAGUGGAGCUGAUGUACAAAUAUGCAAUCCCAACUCCAAAAGACAAAUGCAGUAGAAGUUUGCAGCUUGGAGUCAGCUUUGCUGGUGGAUAUUUUGCUGGUGUUCUCUGUGCUGUUGUCUCGCAUCCUGCUGACAAUUUGGUGUCUUUCCUGAACAAUGCCAAGGGGGCAACUGCUGGUGAUGUGAGUGAAUUUCUCUAUUUAUGAAUAUUUUUCUUUUACUUGAGUUUCUACUCCAUUUGUUCUGUUUUCACCAGCAUUUCUUUCCUUAACGCUUUGGUCUGCUACAGGCGAUCAAGAAGCUAGGAUGGUGGGGUCUCUUCACCCGCGGUCUUCCUCUCCGGAUUGUCAUGAUUGGAACCCUUACUGGAGUCCAAUGGGGUAUCUACGAUUCUUUCAAAGUGUUUUUUGGGCUGUAAGUACCCUCUUGUUAUCUUUCUUUGCCGAUACUGUCUUACACUUUGCUGUAUUCUUUAUAAUGAUUAUACAAGUUAGAAUUUGAAAGACUAAGCUACUGCUUUACUUCAAUCAAAUGACUUAUAAGACAUUUUUCUUUUAUAGACCAACUACUGGUGGUGCUACUCCACCUGCUGCUGCUAAGGCUUGAAUGUAGAGCUGAUAGGCUAAGAAGAUAAAUUGUUUAUCAGGCAGGUGAUUUCUCAUUAAUGAUAUUUUUUUAUUCGGUAUUUGUGAGGUGAUUUCUCAUUAAUGGAUGUAUAAUAGUUGAUUGAGUUG